GUAAUUAAUUGCAUGGAUGCAAUUAAAGGCGUGACUUCGCCAUGGACGGCGAAUACACGGCGGUUACGUUCAUAU
ncrna:unclassified sequences TwoGGAY RNA